rnacentral:lncRNA from 1 species
AAAAUGAUCACUUCAGUAAAUGCAAAAAAUCAUUUGAUUAAAUUUACAGCCCCUUCAUAAUAGCUUUCAGGAAACCAGGAACAUAAAAGAAAUUCCUCAUUCUGAAUAAAGGACAUUUACAAAACAAAACAAAACAAAAAAACAUCUAGCUAACAUCAUUCUUAAUGGCCUGCAAAGCAGUGCAGAGUGCCCCUCUGCAAAAUGCCAGGGCAAUCACAGGGCUCACCUCAUGUGUUUCCGUCUAUCUCAGGAAGCAUAUUGCUGUGUUGCAAUGUGAUUCCUGCAAGCGAGAGGAUGCUGGAGGGUGGUGGAUUGUCAAGUGGCAGGGCACAGGCGCCAAGCUGGAAUAGUAAACACAGUGGUGGGGAGUGGAUCAGGUAAUACUGGAGCAUUUAGAACCAAGAUCAGCCCAGGGACUGAGUGUGGAGACAGCCAAUUCCCUGCCAGUCUAUUAUUUCUGAAGGAAGAGCUUGAAUAAGUUUAUUUCACCCAUUUUUUUUUUGCUUGCCUCAAAUUAAGGAUGGGUAAAGCAGUUCUAAGGACUGCAAAGCUGUGUUGUGGGAAGCAACUCCCAAUUGCAGCUUUUUUUUAUGAUUACUAACUAUGGAAUUUUCACCAAAUAGAAGAUAUAGGUAUUAUUGUCACUAAUAUAAGAAUGAAACAGAGAGACUCAAAGAAGUAAAAAGGAAUGUGCUCAAGAUGUCACCUCCAAUAAUGGCCAGACAUAGGAAUCCAGUCCAGACCUGGCCAGUUUUAGUGUUCUUUCCUUUGACUUAUCUUGAGCACUUUCCUGGGUGCCAGGAUCAGGUCACCAGCCCUACCCUGUUGCCCAUGUAUCUCAUGGUGCCCACGGUGCCCUGCCAGUGGGAUUUUCCCACCUCCUCUUAGUCAAAGCCACAACGCCCCCAUCUGCAAUGCAUUUUCUACACUCCCUCCUCGGCUACUGUUCUGCUUUUCACCUCAGAUGAGCAUCAAAAUAAGAUUGCACCUAAACACUCACCUUGGAAGAGUGAGAUGCAGAGGCUUGCCUGACUCACAACUCUUAACGGAAGUGGCUUAGAGCUUUUAUACGAGAAUUUUAGGAAUAUGUGGAAGAUAUGAACCAGGUUCCUGGAAAAAAGGCACAUACACACAUGCAUACACACAUGCACAAGCAAUUUGGCAGAUAAUUUUUGGAGGUUUUCAGGCACCUCUGAGGUCUAUCAAGGGACUUUGGUGAAGGAAUUCCUGCCCGGGGGAGAAUCCUAAAACUCUUUAGAGCACUAGUUAGUCUCAGAGUUUCCCUUAGCUUGAUGCACACUUUACCUUCGGCAGAAGGAGGAUAUGCCUCUUGGGGAGUCUAGGGGAGGAAGGAGAUAUCCAUAAAGGAACAGCCCAGCUUCUGAGUAAGCCUGACAGACUGAUGCCCUGCCUGGCUUAGGCAACUUCAGGGGAGCAGAUAUCCAGCCCAACUCUGUGGUUACAAAUGACCCUGUUAGCCCAGCCUACCUACAGCCACUGCAGGGGUGCACAAGCAGAUACUCACCGACUGCCCUGAAGCCACUGGAGAGAAGGCAGCAGAUGUGGAGGCUGAGGUACCUGAUAGGCUGGUGACAGGGAAGGUCAGCACAGGUGCAGCAGCUGAGGCACAGUGGGUAUGCUCUCUGGGAGGGAGAGCCAGCUGUACUGGCAGGAGUACUCACUAAGGACUCAGAUAGACAAGAAAGUGAAUCCCAGCACUGUCUCUCACCAGCUUUGGAACCAUGUCUUUUUGAGUUUCAGUUUUCCUAUCUAUAAAUCUAUUUAUAAUAUUUUUUUACCUUGCAUGGCUGAUCUGAGAAUAAGAGAGUGUUUGUAUGUGAGGGGUAUAGCACAGUCUCUCAAACAGCACACCUGAUCAAGAAACGGUCACUGAUACGGAUGAUAAUGGGUUUUCUUAUUAGGAAGCAGGAUGUUUUGGAGAAUGCUUGGGGCUUCUUUGCAUAUUUCAGGGAUUCUGGUUGCAAGUCAGGAUUUUAGAGCAAGGGACUGAUGACACAGGAGGGUUUGGUGAGCACACCAGGCAGCUUUGCAGACAGCAGGCCGCAUUGCAGGAGGUGCUCCUCCCUCCUCGGCAGCUGA